rnacentral:rRNA from 1 species
UAGCAUAUCAAUAAGCGGAGGAAAAGAAACCAACAGGGAUUGCCUCAGUAACGGCGAGUGAAGCGGCAACAGCUCAAAUUUGAAAUCUGGCCUCUCGGGGUCCGAGUUGUAAUUUGUAGAGGAUGUUUCGGGUACCGCCUCGGUUUAAAUUUCUUGGAACAGAAUGUCAAAGAGGGUGAGAAUCCCGUCUUGGACCGGCGGUAGGGCCUAUGUGAAACUCCUUCGACGAGUCGAGUUGUUUGGGAAUGCAGCUCAAAAUGGGUGGUAAAUUUCAUCUAAAGCUAAAUAUUGGCCAGAGACCGAUAGCGCACAAGUAGAGUGAUCGAAAGAUGAAAAGCACUUUGAAAAGAGAGUUAAACAGUAUGUGAAAUUGUUGAAAGGGAAGCGCUUGCAACCAGACUUGAGCGCGGCGGUUCCCCCUUGCUUCUGCUUGGGUUACUCCGCCGUGUCCAGGCCAACAUCGGUUCUGGGGGUCGGUCAAAGGCCUUGGGAAUGUAUCUACCCACGGGUAGACUUAUAGACCAGGGUGUCAUGCGACCUCCCGGGACCGAGGAACGCGCUUCGGCUCGGAUGUUGGCGUAAUGGUUGUCAGCGACCCGUCUUGAAACACGGACCAAGGAGUCUAACAUCUAUGCGAGUGUUUGGGUGUCAAACCCGGAACGCGAAAUGAAAGUGAACGGAGGUAGGAAGCUUCGGCUGCACUAUCGACCGAUCCUGAAGUUUACGGAUGGAUUUGAGUAUGAGCAUAGCUGUUGGGACCCGAAAGAUGGUGAACUAUGCCUGAAUAGGGUGAAGCCAGAGGAAACUCUGGUGGAGGCUCGCAGCGGUUCUGACGUGCAAAUCGAUCGUCAAAUUUGGGUAUAGGGGCGAAAGACUAAUCGAACCAUCUGGUAGCUGGUUCCUGCGA